rnacentral:rRNA from 1 species
UACGAAGGGUGCAAACGUUGCUCGGGAUUAUUGGGCGUAAAGCGCACGUAGGCGGCUUUGCAAGUCCCAUGUGAAAGCCCACGGCUUAACCGUGGAAGUGCAUGGGAAACUGCAGAGCUUGAGUACUUAAGAGGAUCGCGGAAUUCCCGGUGUAGAGGUGAAAUUCGUAGAUAUCGGGAGGAACACCAGUGGCGAAGGCGGCGAUCUGGGAAGAUACUGACGCUGAGGUGCGAAAGCGUGGGGAGCAAACAGG